UGCCAGCACCAUACGACCCUGCAUCCCACUGCUGGCUUGCUUUUGAAGCUAAGCAGGGUUGGUCCUGGUCAGUUCCUGGAUGGUAGACCAGAUGCUGCUGUAAGUGGUGUUGGAGG
rnacentral:rRNA from 1 species